GGUGCCCGAGUUGUAAUUUGGAGAGGGCAACUUUGGGGCCGUUCCUUGUCUAUGUUCCUUGGAACAGGACGUCAUAGAGGGUGAGAAUCCCGUGUGGCGAGGAGUGCGGUUCUUUGUAAAGUGCCUUCGAAGAGUCGAGUUGUUUGGGAAUGCAGCUCUAAGUGGGUGGUAAAUUCCAUCUAAAGCUAAAUAUUGGCGAGAGACCGAUAGCGAACAAGUACAGUGAUGGAAAGAUGAAAAGAACUUUGAAAAGAGAGUGAAAAAGUACGUGAAAUUGUUGAAAGGGAAGGGCAUUUGA
rnacentral:rRNA from 1 species